rnacentral:rRNA from 1 species
GAUGAACGCUAGCUACAGGCUUAACACAUGCAAGUCGAGGGGAAACGACAUUGAAGCUUGCUUCGAUGGUCGUCGACCGGCGCACGGGUGAGUAACGCGUAUCCAACCUGCCUCUGACCAAGGGAUAACCCGUCGAAAGUCGGCCUAAUACCUUAUGCAGUCGUCGGAAGUCAUCUGAUGACGACGAAAGAUUUCAUCGGUGAGAGAUGGGGAUGCGUCUGAUUAGCUUGUUGGCGGGGUAACGGCCCACCAAGGCAACGAUCAGUAGGGGUUCUGAGAGGAAGGUCCCCCACAUUGGAACUGAGACACGGUCCAAACUCCUACGGGAGGCAGCAGUGAGGAAUAGUGGUCAAUGGGCGAGAGCCUGAACCAGCCAAGUAGCGUGCAGGAUGACGGCCCUAUGGGUUGUAAACUGCUUUUAUGCGGGGAUAAAGUGAGGGACGUGUCCUUCAUUGCAGGUACCGCAUGAAUAAGGACCGGCUAAGUCCGUG